AAUGGACACUCAGCUUCUGGAAAAUGGCUGGUUAUGGAAAGAAGAGGCUGCCUUUUCUCCACUUCCCUCUUCUUUAACUAUCCCAACUCUUGUUCCUUUUUCCUUCCUACAGAAAAAAAGCAAGGAUCACUUUGGGCUGGAAGGAGAUGAGGAGUCUACUAUGCUGGAGGACUCAGUGUCCCCCAAAAAGUACGAAGGGAGUUGGGCUGAUCCCAUUUCCCAGGGGUAGAGAAGGCAAGGCCUGACUCUAAGGACUCUUGGGAGGUGGGGAGUCCUUAGAAUGGUUCUUUAACUAGUUGCAGGCUGUAGUGAGACCUCACACACCUGCAAAGGUAGUGUAACCGGGUGGGACGGGUAGAGAUGAGGAGUCCUCUGUGAGCUCAAUAGUUCACCCCUCUACAGGUCAACAGUCCUGCAGCAGC
rnacentral:lncRNA from 10 species